rnacentral:rRNA from 1 species
UACAGAGGUCUCAAGCGUUGUUCGGAAUUACUGGGCGUAAAGGGUGCGCAGGCCGCGCGGGCAGUCAAAUGUGUAAUUCAGGGGCUCAACCCCUGCACUGCGCUUGAUGCUUCCGCGCUCGAGCUUUGGAAAGGAGUCUGGAAUUCUCGGUGUAGCAGUGAAAUGCGUGGAUAUCGAGAAGAACACUUAGGGCGAAGGCAAGACUCUGGACAAAUGCUGACGCUCAUGCACGAAGGCUAGGGUAGCGAACGGG